AUACGUAGGUGGCGAGCGUUGUCCGGAAUUAUUGGGCGUAAAGAGCAUGUAGGCGGCUUAAUAAGUCGAGCGUGAAAAUGCGGGGCUCAACCCCGUAUGGCGCUGGAAACUGUUAGGCUUGAGUGCAGGAGAGGAAAGGGGAAUUCCCAGUGUAGCGGUGAAAUGCGUAGAUAUUGGGAGGAACACCAGUGGCGAAGGCGCCUUUCUGGACUGUGUCUGACGCUGAGAUGCGAAAGCCAGGGCAGCGAACGGGAUUAGAUACCCCGGUAGUCCUGGCCGUAAACGAUGGGUACUAGGUGUAGGAGGUAUCGACCCCUUCUGUGCCGGAGUUAACGCAAUAAGUACCCCGCCUGGGGAGUACGGCCGCAAGGUUGAAACUCAAAUGAAUUGACGGGG
rnacentral:rRNA from 1 species